rnacentral:rRNA from 1 species
CCUACGGGUGGCUGCAGUGGGGAAUAUUGGACAAUGGGCGCAAGCCUGAUCCAGCCAUGCCGCGUGAGUGACGAAGGUCUUCGGAUUGUAAAGCUCUUUUGCCCGGGACGAUAAUGACGGUACCUGGAGAAUAAGCCCCGGCUAACUUCGUGCCAGCAGCCGCGGUAAUACGAAGGGGGCUAGCGUUGUUCGGAAUUACUGGGCGUAAAGCGCACGUAGGCGGAUUUGUGAGUCAGGGGUGAAAUCCCGGGGCUCAACCUAGGAACUGCCUUUGAUACUGCAAAUCUCGAGUACGGAAGAGGUGAGUGGAAUUCCUAGUGUAGAGGUGAAAUUCGUAGAUAUUAGGAAGAACACCAGUGGCGAAGGCGGCUCACUGGUCCGUUACUGACGCUGAGGUGCGAAAGCGUGGGGAGCAAACAGGAUUAGAUACCCUUGUAGUC